UACGUAGGGUGCGAGCGUUAAUCGGAAUUACUGGGCGUAAAGCGUGCGCAGGCGGUUCGCUGUGUCUGCUGUGAAAGCCCCGGGCUCAACCUGGGAAUGGCAGUGGAAACUGGGCGAGCUGGGAGUGUGGCAGAGGGGGGGUGGAAUUCCGACGUGUAGCAGUGAAAUGCGUAGAGAUGUGGAGGAACACCGAUGGCGAAGGCAGCCCCCUGGGCUGACACUGACGCUCAGGCACGAAAGCGUGGGGAGCAAACAGG
rnacentral:rRNA from 1 species